ensembl:misc_RNA Metazoa_SRP Metazoan signal recognition particle RNA
GCCGGGCAUGGUUGCACUUGCCUAUAGUCCCAGCUAUUCGGGAGGCUAAGGUGGGAGGACCGCUUGAGCCCAGGAGUUCUGGGCUGUAGUGCGCUAUGCCGAUCAGGUGUCUGUACUAAGUUUGGCAUCAAUAUGGUGACCUCCUGGGAGCAGGGGACCACCUGGUUGCCUAAGGAGGGGUGAACUGGCCCAGGUCAGAAACGGAGCAGGUCAAAACUCCCGUGCUGAUCAGUAGUGGGAUCGCGCCUGUGAAUAGCCACUGUACUCCAGCCUGGGCGACAUAGCGAGACCCUGUCUCUA